rnacentral:lncRNA from 1 species
GAUCUGAAUUCUCUAACUUUCUAGCGGGAAAGUCACCUGACUUUCAAUUCUUAUGGACCAUUGGAUCAAUUGUGUGGUUCAACCAGCACCAUGUCUCCAUUUUUAUUUUUAUUUUAAUAAAAAAUCAAAGGCAAAAGAAUUCUACACACCAAAUUUUGAUCUUAUUAUCCUCUGCUACACCAUAUCUUUCAAGUUAAUCACCAUUAUACCAUCGUCGUCGACUGAAACCACCACCACCAUCAUCAAAUCCGGCCAAAAACCGCCGCUGCAUUCCCACUCGGUGAGGGAGGUUUUUUUCUCAAUAUUAUAUUCAAGGCUUUAGAAGAAAUCUGACUUGCAUUCCGAUCGAAGACACAGUGACAACGGCGGCGGUCAACAACAUAGUAGACGAAGGUCGGCGGCGAAGAAGCUCGACUUCGAUUUUGUGGUGAGGAAGAUACAGUUUUUUAUUUUAUUUUAAAUUUUAAAAAAGAAAUAAAAAGGACAUGUGACAUGAUAUCAAUAGUUGGAUUAAUCGGAUGGACUGAAACAAUUGAAAGGCAGGUGCAGUUCCCGCAAUAAAGUUAGACGACAGCGGUCCUAGAUAGAAGAAGUCAAGAAGAUACAACGGAACGCAGCGCACAAAACUCACAAAAGAAAAGUCAUGCACCAAGCACCGUAUAUAGGAUAUACAUACAUACAUAAUACUGUACAU